CAGCUAUUUGUAUGAAUAAUAAUAAUAACCAUCAUCACGUAGACUAUACAUUAGACACUGUAUAGCCAUCAUACUAAGACUAUACAUAAAUAAUAAAAAUCUUACGUUACGGACGUUUUUUCCCGGUUAGGGUACCCCUUCGCAUCGUCCCUUAUGGAAAUUCGGUCCAAAAGAGGCUUUUAAAAAAUAUUAUUUUUGGAUUAAUUUGAUAAACUAUCAAAAGGUAAUCUAGCGGUAUACUUAUAAGAAGCAAGGUUUUAUUAUCCAAUAACCGUCUGUAUUUUGCAUAGCUUCGUUCAUCCAUCUUCUUGUCGAGAAAUUUCUCGCUGCAUUUCUUUAGAAAAAUUUCCUGGUGCACCUUUAUCAAGUUUCUUCAAGACUUAUUAUAAAAAAUAAAAAACGGAAAUGUACGAUAUUAAAGUCUGAAGAAGGAAAAUAUUAAAUGGCAAGAUAUUAAGGGUAAACAAAAUUAAAUUGAAACGUCCGUUGCUCUUUACGUAGAAGCCGUAGUGAUUUGAAAUUUGUCUAUUUAUGUUUUAAGGCAAAUCCACCGCAGAACUGACACUAAAUUAAGAUACAUAGACAAACUGACGUUUGAUUUAUUUCUACACUAGAAAAGUUAAACUUCAGAUCCAACUAUUUAUCGUUUUACUAACGUUUACAAAUGAAACUUGGAAUUUUCUCAUCAAGUCGUGAGAAACCGAAAAUUUGAGAUGUGCGAUUUUCGAAAUUGCAUAUUAUUCAAUUUUAACUAAGAUAAUCUACACAGAUAUAGCUUCAAGAUAUCGUAACCGAUAUGCGAAUGAAAAUAUUACAUUACAAUCUAAUACAGCACGAACAAUCACUACGGCGUUCAGAUGGAAGUUAUCAAGAAGUGCAACAAAAACAAAUUGAAUUUGUUCAAAUGAGUAUUUCGUUUUACUUCCUUAUUUCCAUUUUAAGGGUAUCUUUAUCGCUUUAUGACUGAAGUUUAAAUAUACGAUUCGUUGCAUC